CAUCCUUUUGGAUCUGAACUUCCAAGCCUAGUCCCCUGCAUUUAUAGUUUUCAGACGUUCUCAAGUCAGCCAAAGAGGAAAACAAUUGAAACUUAAAAGUUAAGAGCAGAGACUGAAUGGGACAUAAAAUAGCCCAUGUGCAUCAAGUCUACUGAGAAUGUGGUGCUAAGUGUUUUGUGUUUUGUAUUGACCACUGAACAAUAUACAUGAUAAAAAUCAGUAUUGGGUCCCAAGUGUUUUGUCAUGUUGUUUUCUGCCUGUAUUGUUCAUGAGUGUGUAUCAAAAUCAAACACACUGCAAGAAAGAAAACAGUUCCAUGCAGCUACUUUUAAUCAAAGAUUGUCAUAUGCAUGUCAUGUAUAACACGGACAUGAUACAAGUAAACUAUGCUUUUAAUCAUUUUUUCCUCAAAAUUUAUUGUUGGUGCUGUAUCUUUUUCAAAACCAAUAUAAACUUUCAAGAAUAAUUGAUUCAAAUAUCAAGAAAAAGAUGUCAUUCGAGCAAAUCCACAAUUUCCAAAGUUUCAAGACUUCAUGCAGCAAGAAGAAUCUCGAGAAAACAAGCAAAUACAUAAUUUCCGAAAUUGAAGAUGGACUAAGAAAACAAUGACAUAAAUCUUUUUCUGCCUUAUAGCAAACCCAUACCCCGCUGCAAAAACAGUCAUAGUUUUAAUUGCAAUAAAUUGUGAGAUUCAUGAUAUUGUGCUUUCAUGAUAAUAUU
rnacentral:lncRNA from 1 species